rnacentral:rRNA from 1 species
UACGCAGGGGGCUAGCGUUGCUCGGAAUCACUGGGCGUAAAGGGUGCGUAGGCGGGUCUUUAAGUCAGGGGUGAAAUCCUGGAGCUCAACUCCAGAACUGCCUUUGAUACUGAAGAUCUUGAGUUCGGGAGAGGUGAGUGGAACUGCGAGUGUAGAGGUGAAAUUCGUAGAUAUUCGCAAGAACACCAGUGGCGAAGGCGGCUCACUGGUCCGGUUCUGACGCUGAGGCGCGAAAGCGUGGGGAGCAAACAGG